GAUGUCAAGCCUUAGAGCUUCAUACGAGUUUUCAGUUUGAAAUCUUCAUUUUUGCGAACAGUUUGUUUCUUCCUCAAUAUCCAGUAAAACUCUGAGUUUUCUUUUAAAUUAUUGUCCUUAAAAGUAGGAUGGAAAGACGACCCAUGAAGAAUCCGGAGGCUGGAGGUGGGUCAAAAAGGAUCUUGCUGUGAAAACUACAAAUAGAACUACCAUAUGACCCAGCAAUCCCACUACUGGGCGUAUACCCUGAGAAAACCAUAAUUCAAAAAGAGUCAUGUACCACAAUGUUCAUUGCAGCUCUAUUUACAAUAGCCAGGAGAUGGAAACAACCUAAGUGUCCAUCAUCGGAUGAAUGGAUAAAGAAGAUGUGGCACAUAUAUACAAUGGAAUAUUACUCACCCAUAAAAAGAAACGAAAUUGAGCUAAUUGUAAUGAGGUGUAUGGACCUAGAGUCUGUCAUACAGAGUGAAGUAAGUCAGAAAGAGAAAGACAAAUAUCGUAUGCUAAACCAUAUAUAUGGAAUUUAAGAAAAAAAAAUGUCAUGAAGAACCUAGGGGUAAGACAGGAAUAGACACAGACCUACUAGAGAAUGGACUUGAGGAUAUGAGGAGGGGGAAGGGUAAGCUGUGACAAAGUGAGAGAGUGGCAUGGACAUAUAUACACUACCAAACGUAAAAUAGAUAGCUAGUGGGAAGCAGCCGCAUAGCACAGGGAGAUCAGCUCCGUGCUCUGUGACCACCCAGAGGGGUGGGAUAGGGAGGGUGGGAGGGAGGGAGAUGAAAGAGGAAAGAUAUAUAGCAACAUAUGUAUAUGUAUAACUGAUUCACUUUGCUAUACAGCAGAAACUAACACACCAUUGUAAAGCAAUUAUACUCCAAUAAAGAUGUAAAAAAAAAAACCAAAAACCUUUUGGUGUCUUUGACAAACCUCCUCAAAUCAAAUUCUAAAUGUUCUUUUGACCUCUAGUUAACUUCGGAAUGUGUCAGAGGGUCCCUGAACACCUCAAAGAGAGAUAUUAAACUAAUUAGCCUUUUUUGGUAUGUUAAAUUACAUGGGAAAUAUUGUCAAAUAAGUAAUGAUAAACCUUCUUAGAAGGUUCUAAUGUUCUAGAAAUUAUAUGAACUCCCUAAAAUUUGAAAUGUUGUGGUAUGUUCUCAGUCAUAUUUCUAGUUAUUAUUUUAAAGUGUUGUAUGUCACAGAAAUAGCCAAAUUUCCUUAACAACUGCAUUGUAAUCAGGUCUUUAACCAUGUUUUUUAAGUGUUUUGUCACUUAUAGAGUUGUCUUACUCUGAUGCUUUUACAAAAAUGUUUGUAGAUGACUUGCUUUUAUGCUCUGAAACUAAAUUUGAUUCCGUAGCAAAAGGACUUCCACCUUGUAUGGGGGCUAUUUCACUCCUACAUAAGACUAUUGAAGAAAUAGCAAUGGGGGUAUUCUUUAUUUAUGCUCCACACUCAGUUGAGUCCUUCUAAACUCUCACCACACUCAGCACUUCUGUAAACCGACUAGUUUCUUAUGAAGUAUUGUUGCUUUCUGUAAUAACCUUAAGCCUGCAACUUUGCUUCCAGAACUACAGGAAGAAGACAAUCACGACUGCAUUUAUUAACAGAUUAUCUUCUUGUUCCCAGGAAUGACAAGAAGCUCCUAUUGAUAAGGCUAACCUAAUUUGAUUUACAGAUGGGUUCUACUUAAAGGAUAAGCAGGGGCAUUAUAGAGUUGGAUAUGCAGUAACAUUCACAGUGAACAUAAGUGAAAGCUCUUAUUUACCAGAAAAAGUCAGCACAACAAGCUGAAUUAAUUGCCCUAACCUUAGCUUUUCAACUUGCUAAAGACCAGCUAGCAAAUAUUUAUACUGACAGUUGCAAUGCCUUCUGAAGUGGCACACAACUUUGGAAUGCUAUGGGAACAAUGAGGUUUUUAACUUCUUCAGGACAACUUAAAAAAUGAAAAACAGAUUGCAAUUAUUAACUGCUAUACAACUGCCAAAAAACCAGUUAGCAAUUACUGACACCAGGACAUUCCAAACUGACACUAUGGAAGCUAAAGGAAAUCAGCUUGCUGAUGCUGCAGCCAAACACGCAGCUUUAAAUACUCACGCCAUAAAGCCUUGAAAUUUUCUGUCCACUGCUCUCUGUAAACCGUGCUAAUCCAGUAAAAGAUGUCAUCUAUAAGCUCAAGAAAUUGCUACUAAAGAAGACAGACAGAUACGGUAACAAAAACGGGGAAUUUUGACCCCACCACACAAAUAUGGUUUGGACCUAAUUUUUUUUUUAAAAAAAGCUGUAAGCGUCUGUUGGAGCACGAUUGUCUAUCAGCCUUUGCCAGGCGUUCUACUAGCAUAACUCCUAAAAAGGAAAGAAAGAACUGGGGUAAUAAGGCUGAGGGACAUGAUGGAUCCAGAGCAAAUAAGCAAAGACCCUGUUAUUGGGGGAACAAAUAUUUGAUCACCUAAUGCUAUCUAAAGAUUAAUGAUCAAAAGGGGAAAGUGAAAAAGGAAAUUAUAUUUUAAGAUAGGUAAAGAAAAGUUAAGCAUAAAAUUCUCUCUUCUCUCUUCACUUGAGCCUCCUCCCUCCCUAAUGCAUCUGCAUCACAUAUUAACCAGACCUCCUCAAAGAUGGGAAUGCCUGCUGCUCCACAGCAAAGAUCAAUUUGUUCCUUUCUUCCGAUGCUAGCAAUGUGACUUCUUAAAGAUUAGCAUUCUUUCCAACUCUGUAGGUGGUCAUUGAGACUUACUGCUCAAUUCGUUUGUGUUUACCUAGACUGUGUAUCUUUGGUAGACUUUAUGUAAAACGUCAGUAUGUCAUUUUGAUGAAGGAUCCUUGGUUUCAAAAAUGUAAAUGACUGUGUCUUUGCUAACAGUAGGUCAGAGCUUCAGACAGCCUUUCUCCCACGUUAUGAUCCUCAGUUUGACUCAAAUAAAAUUGCCUUUUUUCUUCUUAA